UUUCGCUUGCGUUAACGUUGGUUAACAAACGUGUUAAGAGAUUUUGAGUGUUUUCGUUUAGUACUAUAGUAUAUUUUAUUGUUAAUAGUGCUUUAGUUGGUAGUUGGGUUAAGUGGUGUUAUUAAUAUUUGUAAAUCUUGUAAGUUAAGGAUUAACAAGGAAAUACUACUAUGCUAGUCUUCAAAAUUUAAUUGAGUUUGUUUCCUCAACCGUACCGAUCAAUCUCUUUCGUGUCUUCUCCGUCCUACGU